CAUAAAUAAUGUUGUAUGUUGUUGUCGUAUCGCGUAGCAUGAAAACUUCAGCCUCUCUUCAGGUGUGCCCUCCUCAAUUUGAAUUCACUGGGAUCUCCUUUUGCUGAUUUUCUGGAAAGCCAGGUGAUUGCUGAUCGGGUGCACCUUGGACCUGUGAGCCAGGGGAGAUAAAGCUCCACUUGGUCAAACCACUUGCUCUUUUCUUCUCUGCAAUCCAGAUGUCAACCAUGGCCUGACCACCCUGACUGCCACAUCUUGCUUUGAGUUAUUUAUUUUACAGAGACACACCUUGCACAUUUAAAUAGUUAUGUUUAGUUCACUCUUUUGUUAAAUAAAUCACUUUUGAUUAUUUAUGCUGCCUCGUUCCCUCUUUUGUCG